rnacentral:rRNA from 1 species
AUACGGAGGAUGCGAGCGUUAUCCGGAUUUAUUGGGUUUAAAGGGAGCGUAGGUGGGAUAUUAAGUCAGCUGUGAAAGUUUGGGGCUCAACCUUAAAAUUGCAGUUGAUACUGGUUUCCUUGAGUACGGUACAGGUGGGCGGAAUUCGUGGUGUAGCGGUGAAAUGCUUAGAUAUCACGAAGAACUCCGAUCGCGAAGGCAGCUCACUGGACUGUUACUGACACUGAGGCUCGAAAGUGUGGGUAUCAAACAGGAUUAGAUACCCUGGUAGUCCACACAGUAAACGAUGAAUACUCGCUGUUUGCGAUAUACAGCAAGCGGCCAAGCGAAAGCAUUAAGUAUUCCACCUGGGGAGUACGCCGGCAACGGUGAAACUCAAAGGAAUUGACGGGG